rnacentral:rRNA from 1 species
GCUUACGGCCACACCGCCUGGUUCACGCCCGAUCUCGUUUGAUCUCGGAAGCUAAGAUAGGGUGGGCCAGGUUAGUACUUGGAUGGGAGACCGCCUGGGAAUACCAGGUGCUGUAAUUU